AACGAACGCUGGCGGCAUGCCUAACACAUGCAAGUCGAACGAGACCUUCGGGUCUAGUGGCGCACGGGUGCGUAACGCGUGGGAACCUGCCCUUAGGUUCGGAAUAACUCCCCGAAAGGGGUGCUAAUACCGGAUAAUGUCUUCGGACCAAAGAUUUAUCGCCUUUGGAUGGGCCCGCGUUGGAUUAGCUAGUUGGUAGGGUAAAAGCCUACCAAGGCGACGAUCCAUAGCUGGUCUGAGAGGAUGAUCAGCCACACUGGGACUGGGACACGGCCCAGACUCCUACGGGAUGCAGCAGUGGGGAAUAGUGGACAAUGGGCGAAAGCCUGAUCCAGCAAUGCCGCGUGAGUGAUGAAGGCCUUAGGGUUGUAAAGCUCUUUUACCCGGGAUGAUAAUGACAGUACCGGGAGAAUAAGCUCCGGCUAACUCCGUG
rnacentral:rRNA from 1 species